rnacentral:rRNA from 1 species
GUCUACAGCCACGCCACCCUGAACAAGCCCGAUCCCAUCUGAUCUUAGAAGCUAAGCAGGGUCGAGUCUGGUUAGUACUUGGAUGGGAGACCACCUAGGAAGACCAGGUGCUGUAGGUG